rnacentral:rRNA from 1 species
AAGUCGUAACAAGGUUUCCGUAGGUGAACCUGCGGAAGGAUCAUUAUUGAAAUAAAUCUGAUGAGUUGCUGCUGGCUUGCUUUAGAGCAUGUGCACACUUGUCAUCUUUAUAUCUCCACCUUUGUGCACAUUUUGUAGGCCUGAAUAUCUUUCUGAGUUGUUAGCGACUCAGGUUUGAGGAUUGAUUUUAAAUAAUCUUUCUUUACAUUUGCAGGCCUAUGUUUCUUUAUAUAUACCCAUUGUAUGUUCUAGAAUGUAAUAAAANGGGCCUUUGUGCCUAUAAACAUUAAUACAACUUUCAGCAACGGACCUCUUGGCUCUCGCAUCGAUGAAGAACGCAGCGAAAUGCGAUAAGUAAUGUGAAUUGCAGAAUUCAGUGAAUCAUCGAAUCUUUGAACGCACCUUGCGCUCCUUGGUAUUCCUUGGAGCAUGCCUGUUUGAGUGUCAUUAAUAUAUCAACCUCUUCAAUCUUUGGCUUGUUGAGUGUUGAAUGUGGGUUUGCUGGUUUCUCUCUUGAGGUCAGCUCCCCUGAAAUGCAUUAGCUGAACAAUUUGUGNACCUUGNUCAUUGGNGUGANAAUUAUCUACGCUACUGACAACAAAGCAAGCUCAGCUUCUAACAGUCCAUUGACUUGGACAAUGUUUAUAUCNAAUGUGACCUCAAAUCAGGUAGGACUACCCGCUGNACUUAAGCAUAUCNAUAAGCGGAGGAAAAGAACUNACAAGGAUUCCCCUAGUAACUGCGAGUGAAGCGGGAAAAGCUCAAAUUUAAANUCUGGCAGUCUCCGNCUGUCCGAGUUGUAAUCUAGAGAAGUGUUAUCCGCGUUGGACCGUGUACAAGUCUCCUGGAAUGGAGCAUCAUAGAGGGUGAGAAUCCCGUCUUUGACACGGACUGCCAGGGCUUUGUGAUGCGCUCUCAAAGAGUCGAGUUGUUUGGGAAUGCAGCUCAAAAUGGGUGGUAAAUUCCAUCUAAAGCUAAAUAUUGGCGAGAGACCGAUAGCGAACAAGUACCGUGAGGGAAAGAUGAAAAGAACUUUGGAAAGAGAGUUAAACAGUACGUGAAAUUGCUGAAAGGGAAACGCUUGAAGUCAGUCGCGUUGGCCAGGGAUCAACCUUGCUUUUGCUUGGUGUACUUUCUGGUUGACGGGUCAGCAUCAAUUUUGACCAUUGGAAAAAGGUCAAGGGAAUGUGGCAUCUUCGGAUGUGUUAUAGCCCUUGGUUGCAUACAGUGGUUGGGAUUGAGGAACUCAGCACGCCGCAAGGCCGGGUUUUAACCACGUACGUGCUUAGGAUGCUGGCAUAAUGGCUUUAAUCGACC